GUAGUCAUAUGCUUGUCUCAAAGAUUAAGCCAUGCAUGUCUCAGUACAAGCCAUAUUAAGGUGAAACCGCGAAAGGCUCAUUAAAUCAGUUAUGGUUCCUUAGAUCGUACCCACAUUUACUUGGAUAACUGUGGUAAUUCUAGAGCUAAUACAUGCAAACAGAGCUCCGACCGGAGACGGAAGGAGUGCUUUUAUUAGAUCAAAACCAAUCGGCGGCAAUUGGGUUUACUUAAUUGUUCGUCGCACUUUUUGGUGACUCUGAAUAACUUUUGGCUGAUCGCACGGUCUCGCACCGGCGACGCAUCUUUCAAAUGUCUGCCUUAUCAACUGUCGAUGGUAGGUUCUGCGCCUACCAUGGUUGUAACGGGUAACGGGGAAUUAGGGUUCGAUUCCGGAGAGGGAGCCUGAGAAACGGCUACCACAUCCAAGGAAGGCAGCAGGCGCGCAAAUUACCCACUCCCGGCACGGGGAGGUAGUGACGAAAAAUAACGAUACGGGACUCAUCCGAGGCCCCGUAAUCGGAAUGAGUACACUUUAAAUCCUUUAACAAGGACCAAUUGGAGGGUAAGUCUGGUGCCAGCAGCCGCGGUAAUUCCAGCUCCAAUAGCGUAUA
rnacentral:rRNA from 3 species